AUCCUUCUAGGUCAUAUGAGCAUGAUGAUUGGUCUGUUCAUGAGCAUUUAUGAAAUGUGCUGCCAUCUUGUUACGUUUUGCACAUUGACCAUCUGACU